GAUUCUGGCUCAGGAUGAACGCUAGCGGCAGGCUUAACACAUGCAAGUCGAGGGCAUCGGGAGUAGCAAUACUGCCGGCGACCGGCGCAAGGGUGCGUAACGCGUGAGCAACAUGCCCGUAUCAGGGGGAUAAUCCAUGGAAACGUGGUCUAAUACCCCAUAGUAAUUAUGUAAGGCAUCUUAUAUAAUUUAAAGCUUUGGUGGAUACGGAUUGGCUCGCGUGACAUUAGCUGGAUGGUAAGGUAACGGCUUACCAUGGCUACGAUGUCUAGGGGUUCUGAGAGGAAGGUCCCCCACACUGGAACUGAGACACGGUCCAGACUCCUACGGGAGGCAGCAGUGAGGAAUAUUGGACAAUGGAUGGAAAUCUGAUCCAGCCAUGCCGCGUGCCAGGAAGACGGCCCUAUGGGUUGUAAACUGCUUUUGUAUGGGAGCAAUAAGGGCUACGUGUAGUCCGAUGAGAGUACCAUACGAAUAAGCACCGGCUAACUCCGUGCCAGCCGCCGC
rnacentral:rRNA from 1 species